rnacentral:rRNA from 1 species
UACGGAGGGAGCUAGCGUUGUUCGGAAUUACUGGGCGUAAAGCGCGCGUAGGCGGCUUUGUAAGUCGGGUGUGAAAUCUCGGAGCUUAACUCCGAAACUGCAUUCGAUACUGCCGUGCUUGAGGACUGGAGAGGAGACUGGAAUUUACGGUGUAGCGGUGAAAUGCGCAGAUAUCAGGAAGAACACCUAUGGCGAAGGCAGCUCUCUGGGACGGUACUGACGCUGAGACGCGAAAGCGUGGGGAGCGAACAGG